ACGGAGGGUACGAGCGUUAAUCGGAAUGACUGGGCGUAAAGCGAGCGCAGGCGGUCUGAUCAGUCGGAUGUGAAAGCCCCGGGCUUAACCUGGGAAUUGCAUUCGAUACUGUCAGACUAGAGUAUGGGAGAGGGAAGUGGAAUUUCUAGUGUAGCGGUGAAAUGCGUAGAUAUUAGAAGGAACACCAGUGGCGAAGGCGGCUUCCUGGCCCAAUACUGACGCUCAGGCUCGAAAGCGUGGGGAGCGAACAGG
rnacentral:rRNA from 1 species